UACGUAGGUCCCGAGCGUUGUCCGGAUUCACUGGGCGUAAAGGGAGCGCAGGCGGCACGGCAAGUCCGGUGUGAAAGCCCGGGGCCCAACCCCGGGACUGCACUGGAAACUGCCGGGCUGGAGUGUCGGAGGGGCAGGCGGAAUUCCUAGUGUAGCGGUGAAAUGCGUAGAUAUUAGGAGGAACACCGGUGGCGAAGGCGGCCUGCUGGACGACGACUGACGCUGAGGCUCGAAAGCGUGGGGAGCAAACAGG
rnacentral:rRNA from 1 species